GGCUUCAUAGCUCAGUGGUUUAGAGCAUACGAUUGCAGUUAUGGCACCAUAGAUUGAUUAUCGUGUGGUCCCGUGUUCGAGUCACGGUGAGGCCU